rnacentral:rRNA from 1 species
UACAGAGGGGGCAAGCGUUGUUCGGAAUUACUGGGCGUAAAGGGCGCGUAGGCGGCCUGUUAAGUCGAACGUGAAAUCCCUGGGCUCAACCCAGGAACUGCGUCCGAUACUGGCAGGCUUGAAUCCGGGAGAGGGAUGUGGAAUUCCAGGUGUAGCGGUGAAAUGCGUAGAUAUCUGGAGGAACACCGGUGGCGAAGGCGGCAUCCUGGACCGGUAUUGACGCUGACGGCGCGAA